ACUCCUACGGGAGGCAGCCAGUAGGGAAUAUUGGUCAAUGGACGGAAGUCUGAACCAGCCAUGGCCGCGUGCAGGAAGACGGCCUUCUGGUUGUAAACUGCUUUAUCAGGGAAGAAUAAGCUUCUUGCGAGAGGUGAUGCCGGUACCUGAGGAAUAAGCACCGGCUAACUCCGUGCCAGCAGCCGCGGUAAUACGGAGGGUGCAAGCGUUGUCCGGAUUUAUUGGGUUUAAAGGGUGCGUAGGCGGCCUGUUAAGUCAGUGGUGAAAGGUAUCAGCUCAACUGAUGACGUGCCAUUGAAACUGGCGGGCUUGAGUACAGACGAGGUAGGCGGAAUUUAUGGUGUAGCCGGUGAAAUGCAUAGAUACCAUAAAGAACACCGAUAGCGAAGGCAGCUUACUAGGCUGAGACUGACGCUGAGGCACGAAAGCGUGGGGAGCGAACAGGAUUAGAUACCCUGGUAG
rnacentral:rRNA from 1 species